UUUACAAGUAAAUUUACAAAUGCAUUAAGAACAUUUCCCUGUCCGCCUGUUAGUGUUUAUUUCUUCCCCUUCUCCUCCUGGGAGCCAACACCUCCCAGCCCUCACCUUUCACACGCUGCUCUCCCUUCCUUGCCUCCAUCCCUCCCGUCGCCCCUUUCCCUCCUCCUCCUCCUUUCCCAGCUCAGCAGCGGAGAUUUCUGUUUGUGCCAGUGGGGCGGCCUGGCGAGACCGCAAUUGCUCUACCCCACAGAUUGACGAGCCCUCAGAUGCCGAUUUACUGUACAUGGCAGCCACGCUGGAGCCGAGGCACAUCUGGAGUGGAGUAAGCUUACUCAGAAACAGGGGCCAGCUCCAGCCGGAGCCAGCGGAGCCGAGCGCGGCACUUGAAGGCAGCCCUCCUGCCUCCCUUCCCUCUCCCCGGAUCCUACUAGGAGAGGGCCAACAUUUAUCUUGAACAACCUUAACUAAGUCUUGACCUUCCCAGUCAGAGAACCACUGGGCAUUACUUCCCUAUGGCUGCUUGAAACCAUUCACAAGGUGAAAAUCACAGAAUCACAGAAUUGUAAGGGCUGGAAGAGACCUCCAGAAAUCAUGGAGUGCAGCCCCCCUGCAAAGCAGACUGCCUACAGCAGGCUGCACAGUUGGAUUUUGGCUGAGAUCUUCUAGAUGCCUGCAGGGCUCCAGAGGUCUCCUGUCUGGCUG
ensembl:lncRNA